rnacentral:lncRNA from 1 species
UUGGGGGGAACCAAAGGUGAGCCCUAACAAGAAUAACAAAGUUGAUAUUGACAACUAAGAAGACUUUCAAUAUUUGAAAGACAUGGAAAUCCCUCCAUAAUGAGAGCUGCUGAUGGAGCAGAGCCUAUAUGAUGCUGAACUUAGUUUGGCACCUUCCGUAGGUAUAGCAUAGUACUUGUCUUUAAUCUUUUGUUUUUUCCAUUUAGCUUCAAAAAUUUGUGGCUAAAUCAUUGUCACUUUCUAUCUAUAGGUAUGCCGCUAUUGGUGGAUGAGAUUCGAUGGAAUGCCAUAAGAAAGAGGCCAGCUGCCAGUGCAGGUCCAUCUCGGGAUUCGAAAAAGACUCAACCCGAUGCUUCUUCGGUGGGUAUUUUUGAAGCCCGCAUGGAUCCCAUCAUUGCACUAUCAGCUCCGGGGGUCCUACUAUUAGCGGAAGCUCCUCCAUCGAUUGAGCAUUCUAGCGAUCAUCAUGAUGACGAUGUCACAAUCAUUGAUCCACCACAAACCAGUGUGGUGCCACCGAUGUCUUAGGUGCCAUCAUCAUCCUAGUGGUCCUCUACACCCAAAUGGAUGGCGGCGCCAGUCGAUCAGCCGUCUGCUCAGGAGCAUGGAAAGAUGCCACAGAUUUCGACUAGCGGUGAGGCUCUGAAAGAUUUUAUAGAACAUUUUGACAUUUAGGUACCCGCAGACGAGUCGGCCCUGAGGAACCUGAAACUGGC